AAUAAGAUGGCAGAGAGAUAUGUAGUAGAUUGUAAAUUUAGUUAGAAAGGUUUAAAUCCUUUUCUUAUUA
rnacentral:tRNA from 1 species